GCUGUUCUCCUUCUGUUCCCCUCCACCAGCGGAGCUCAUUAUUUAGCAGCGGGCUGCAGUUGUCGCAGUGCCAUCUGAAUAGCCAGGAUGGAAAGAGGGGCAGUCCGGAGCGGAUCUCUCACUCCCAGCCAGCUGUGAAUGGAGAGAAUGGCUAGAUGAAAGCUGAAGGCCAGCUAAGACAGAGUCUACAAUAUUAAUCUUCUACCUUUUUGCUGGUAAAGAGCCCCUGAAAGGAUCACCCUCUCUGUGUUGGACCUCUUGGUCACUACUAGUCUUGGCUCCAUCUCAGCUAUAAAUUACAUGAAGCUCAGAACAGGCAGACAAGGGAGGAGGAUGAUGAGGAGGUGGCCUUUGCUAACUUGUCAUCUUGAUACCAGAUGCUCUGUGUUCUGCACUUGCUGUUUUGUUUCUAGUCUAAAUCAUUUCUCAGCACCUCUGCAAAAUCAUCCUUUUAUUAAAAACUAUUUCCAUUUCCAACCUCUUCCAGCUGUAUAGCAGAACAAUCAAAUACAUUGAAGAAGGCUGAGUUUAGGCACAGGUCUUCCUUCUGUGCCUCUCCUUCAGCAAACUCUGACAAGUCAGCCAACAGGUAAAUAUUUCUUAACACCAGCGAUCAAACUAGCUGCAGGGUUUGGCAGUGGAGAGUAAUGCUUACAGCCUUGCAGAAGGUUUGUUUUUAAAGAUGUUCCAUUGUCCUGACAACAAAUUGGUGUCUAGCUAAGGUAUGGUAAAAACUGACUUGUUUUCCUUUGAAUUACAGUGUACACCAGGCAUAAACUCACUGUUACUAAUAAGAUUGAUCUUUGUAUAUCCUAAAAAUGGGCUGGGUUUGUCUGAUGGAACAUCAGCGCUAGCUGGACUGAGCUCAGUGGUUGAGCAAGCAGUAUGACAUUAAACCCUGUUUAUGUUGGUAGUACAAACCCCUACAGCGGGCCUGAGCUAUGUAGGAAUAAGGCAGUUUGCACAAGGAGUUCAGGCACCAAUCUAAACAGUAAUUUUAAAGGGGCAAGUGCAAGAAACUUUUAUCAGAACAUGGAGCCAACGUAGAACAAUUCUGCUGCUGGUCCAGUUUCCUCCAGCAUAAAUGUAAGGAGUUCUAGCUACAGGUUUCUUCAAGGUGCAUAGGCCAUAUCUAUCUCCCACCACUCAUGCUAGUCUUCCUCUUUAAAAGGAGAAAGUGGCCUUGUAAUUAAGGCACUGGACUGAAAAUCAGGAGAGCUAAGUCCCAAUUUCAAGUUCUGCCAGAGGCUCCCUAAAUUAACUGAGUUAGUUUAUGGCUCACUUCUUGAACUGUAGAAAUGGGGUGUUAAGAGGAUAAGGCUGUACCUACAUGGGAGAUGUCAGAGUCUACACAGGGCCUAAGAAUAGCUAUAUACGUAGGACCAGACACCAGCAUAUCAAGUUCAGCAAGCUACAUUUCAUGGUGAACACAGGACUCACACAGUAAGUGGCAGGAGAGUUGAAUCAGGGAUCCUCCACUAUAGAGAACGUGAUUGCUGUUCAUCAGUUGAUCUUUAAGGAAAUAGGAAGCUACUGAGGAAGAGUGGAUGACAGGAAAAAUCUUCCAGAUGAAUUUUAAUAUCUUUUCCUAAAAAGUUCAGUUUUGAAAGAAGCCUGUCCUUUGGGAAGAGCCAUGGGAUGUUAAAAACAUUAAUGAAAGCCAAGCUGUGGCCAGAAAGGUUGCAGGGGGUGUGGGGAAGAACAGACUUGCAGCAGUCACUCAGGAAGCCAGUCAAGAUCCCAUCUGGAGGGGCAAGAGGCCAAGUCACAGAACAGAUGGAAAUGAAGCAACAGCUGGUGGAAACACGCUUUCAUGUGUAAAGUUUGCUCUUUGGAGAAUUUUGCUCUCCAACUUUGAGGGCAUCAUUAUGCUAAUAGCUCCUCCCCCUACAACACUUUAGAGAGAGCCUGUGCACUCAGGAGCAGGCGUUCCACAGCUCUCAGUGAUGCUGGUUAAUUAACAAGGGCACUUUCAACAUUUAGAAGCUGCUGUCACAAAACCUUGGCAUGGUUUUAGCAGCAGAGGGUCUUGUUUCUUCAACAGCAGAGGGGGUGGGAUGAAAGAGAAUUAAUUUGGCCCCAAGUGGUUAAGCAGAUGGGAUGAAAACUGCGGAGCCCAGGACUUCAUUACAUAUACCGAAAGUUGCUCUUUCUAUUGUAAAUAGUGCUGAUGGAGAGAAGAUUAGAGGCUGUACAAGUUGGGUAUAUUAAUGAAAACUAGAACCCCUCUCAUUGCUUUACCAACCAUGUGCUGGAGACCCAUUCUCCUAGGGGGAGGUGGGAUUUCUCUUUUCAGUAUUGUCAGUCAGUCCUGUGCUUUUGCUACACGGCACCAAACUCAGACUGAGGAAACAAAGACUGACACUUUUCUUUGGAGUAUGGUGGAGGAGGAAUGCUAAUUGUAAUAUUUCUGAACACUGAGAAGGCUGCAAGGUUGCAGAGAACAAGGCUUUCCAAGAACAAUCAGACGACUGCUUUGAAAUAAAGGUCAGAAAAGUGACUUGUCUCCUUUUCUUUAAUAAAGGUAUGAAGCGUUUCUCCCAUUAAGACUUGAAUUUCUCCCUGCUACUGGGAUCCAUCAAUGCAAUUUUGAUUACAGAAAAAAAAAGCACUACACUCUUGAUUAAAAUUAAGAUUUU